rnacentral:rRNA from 1 species
AGAGUUUGAUUAUGGUAUAGGGCUAACGCUGGCGGCGUGUCUUAGACAUGCAAGUCGUGCGGGGUUGGGAUUUUUCAGUUUACUGGAAAGUCCCAACUUAGCGGCGAACGGGUGAGUAAUACAGGGGAACCUACCCCAGGGAAGGGGACAACCUCGGGAAACCGGGGCUAAUACCCUAUAAUAUUCAGAAGCGACAGCUUCUGAAUCAAAGGUGGCCUCUGCUUGCAUGCUACCGCCCUGGGAGGGGCUCCUGGCCUAUCAGGUUGUUGGUGAGGUAAUGGCUCACCAAGCCUAAGACGGGUAGCCGGCCUGAGAGGGUGAACGGCCACAAGGGCACUGAGACACGGGCCCUACUCCUACGGGAGGCAGCAGUCUAGAAAUUUGGGCAAUGGGCGCAAGCCUGACCCAGCGACGCCGCGUGCGGGAUGAAGCCCUUCGGGGUGUAAACCGCUGUCAGGGAGGACGAUGGGUGAAUGGGUGAACAAUCCAUUCAUCUGACGGUACUCCCAGAGGAAGCCCCGGCUAACUACGUGCCAGCAGCCGCGGUAAUACGUAGGGGGCUAGCGUUGCCCGGAUUCACUGGGUGUAAAGGGUGUGUAGGCGGAUAGGUAGGUCCAUUGUGAAAGACCCUGGCUCAACCAGGGAUGUGCAGUGGAAACCACCUAUCUAGAGGACGGGAGAGGGGACCGGAACUCCCGGUGUAGCGGUAAAAUGCGUGGAUAUCGGGAGGAACGCCGAUGGCGAAGGCAGGUCCCUGGAACGUUCCUGACGCUGAGACACGAAAGCUGGGGGAGCGAACCGGAUUAGAUACCCGGGUAGUCCCAGCCCUAAACGAUGCGUGCUAGGUGUUGGGCAUUUGCCCAGUGCCGCAGGUAACCCGAUAAGCACGCCACCUGGGGACUACGGCCGCAAGGCUAAAACUCAAAGGAAUUGACGGGAGCCCGCACAAGCGGUGGAGGAUGUGGUUUAAUUCGAGGCUACGCGAAGAACCUUACCUGGGCUUGACAUGCAGGUGGUACGACCCCGAAAGGGGAAGGACCGGGGUUUCCCGGAGCCUGCACAGGUGCUGCAUGGCUGUCGUCAGCUCGUGCCGUGAGGUGUUGGGUUAAGUCCCGCAACGAGCGCAACCCCUGCCCUUAGUUGCCAUCAGGUCCUUUGGAUGCUGGGCACUCUAAGGGGACUGCCGGCGAUGAGCCGGAGGAAGGUGGGGACGACGUCAAGUCAUCAUGGCCCUUACGCCCAGGGCUACACACGUCCUACAGUGGCCGUUACGGAGGGUUGCAAAUCCGCGAGGAGGAGCCAAUCCCUAAAAGCGGCCAUGGUUCGGAUUGCAGGCUGCAACUCGCCUGCAUGAAGAGGGAAUCGCUAGUAAUCACCCAUCAGCAAUGGGGUGGUGAAUACGUUCUCGGGCUUUGUACACACCGCCCGUCAAGCCAUGGGAGUCUGCAACACCCGAAGUCCGAGACCCAACCCCUUUUUGGGGAGGGAUCGGCCCAAGGUGGGGCAGAUGACUGGGGCUAAGUCGUAACAAGGUA